CCUACGGGAGGCAGCAGUAGGGAAUUUUCGUCAAUGGGCGCAAGCCUGAACGAGCGAUGCCGCGUGAGUGAAGAAGGUCUUCGGGUCGUAAAGCUCUGUUUCGGGGGAAAAAAGGCAGCAUCAGGAAAUGGGUGCUGACUGAUGGUGCCCCGCCAGAAAGUCACGGCUAACUACGGGCCAGCAGCCGCGGUAAUACGUAGGUGGCGAGCGUUAUCCGGAAUGGUUGGGCGUAAAGGGUGCGGAGGCGGCCCGACAAGUCUGGAGUGAAACGCGUGAGCUCAACACAUGCAUGGCUUUGGAAACUGGAGGACUGGAGGGCAGGAGAGGGAGGUGGAACUCGAGGUGUAGCGGUGAAAUGCGUAGAUAUAUGGAAGAACACCAGUGGCGAAGGCGGCCGCCUGGUCUGUUGCUGACGCUGAGGCACGAAAGCGUGGGGAGCAAAUAGGAUUAGAUACCCGAGUAGUC
rnacentral:rRNA from 1 species